CUUCAGUAAUGAACCUGGACCCUCAGACACAAAACAGAGAGCAGGGUCUCCAGUCCCCAGCUGUCUGUCUCUGAAGAGUGACGGGUCUAUGUGGCUUCCUAUAUCCUUCAGUAAUGAACCUGGACCCUCAGACACAAAAGGGAAGAGGAAGAGUGGUGUUCCUGUGGAGGAG